GGUACUAUUCAAAUAAUCUCUGAAAUACUUGAGAGUCAGAGAUAAUAUAAACUGGUUGUCUUUUUGUUUGUGUUGGCAGUGCUGAAGAUCGAACUCAGGGUUUUGCACAUGCUAAGCAAGCAUUCUAUUUCCGAGCUAUGUCCCAAGCCUGAGCAUGUUUUAAUGGCACCUAUGUCAGCGAGAAAGGUUACCUACAAAUUCACGAUCCUCCUGCCUCAGCCUCCUGAGUAGCAAGCACUACAGGCAUACACAACCAUGCCGAGCCUGCGGUUUCUUUCUGAGAACAAGGAGAAACUGCUGGGAACAGGACCUAAACUGAAGAGGACAGAGACAAAGGGAAAAAAGAAAAGAGAAACUCCAGAUUAAAGUCGUGAAGGAGAAAGGAAUGAGACAUUCUCAAAUAGCAAGGUGACAUUCUUAAACAUUAUACAAAAACUGAAGGAUUGCUGUGUAUUCAGAAAGGCUAAAUUAACAUCACAUAAAAAAGAAUAAAAGAAAAUUGUGGAGGUCUAAUACAAAUUAUUAUAAGGAAAAAAAGAGUAAGUAUAAACAAAUCUCUAAAGACAGUGAUGGAACACUAUACAGAUUUUCUCAUCUACUAAUACUUCAAAACAAGAUCAAGGGGCUUUAAGAAACAAUACAUGAUAUGAAAGGAUAAACAUGAAUAAAAAUUACAACCACCUCAGAAAUUAUCUAUCCAGAACUUAGGUGCAAAAACUCAGGAAAAAGUCAAAUUAGAAGAAAUAAAGUUAUA